rnacentral:rRNA from 1 species
AGCAUAUCAAUAAGCGGAGGAAAAGAAACCAACCGGGAUUGCCUCAGUAACGGCGAGUGAAGCGGCAACAGCUCAGAUUUGAAAGCCGAGUCCCUUCGGACUUUGCAUUGUCAUCUGCAGAGGAAGUCUCGCGAACGACGAGCCCCAAGUCUCCUGGAACGGAGCGUCAUGGAGGGUGAGAAUCCCGUGGGGGUGACCGUCCGCCGCAGGUGAGACUCCUUCGACGAGUCGAGUUGUUUGGGAAUGCAGCUCUAAUUGGGAGGUAAAUUCCUCCUAAAGCUAAAUAUCGGCUGGAGACCGAUAGCGCACAAGUAGAGUGAUCGAAAGAUGAAAAGCACUUUGAAAAGAGAGUCAAACAGCACGUGAAAUUGUUGAAAGGGAAGCGCUGUCCGUCAGACUUGUCGGUGAGGAUCACCCUUCGUUUUUUCGGGGGGGCACUCGUCGCCGGCAGGCCCGCAUCGGUUUGGGCGGCUGGAGAAAGGCGGUGGGAAUGUAGCUCUUCUCGAAGAGUGUUAUAGCCCGCCGCGCAAUACGGCCAGCCUAGACCGAGGUCUGCGCUUCGGCUCGGAUGUGGGCGUAAUGGCGGUCAGCGGCCCGUC